AUGUCUCCUCUUGUUCCCGAUCAGCAGCUCCCCGACACUUCAGUGAAACUGCUUGGGCCGUCAGCCGAGGAGAUCUCCGCUAAAGGAACCGGCACCUUAGUUUGCCUGGUCAGUAAGCUGUCGGUGGGCUUCCCUGUCGUCAGCUGGACAGUGGACGGGAGUCCGACCAGCCGUGAGGUGACAACCAGCGCAGUGAGGCGGAACACGGACAGAACUUUCAGUCUCAGCAGCUACCUGACGGUGCCCGGCACAGACUGGAGUAGUGGUAAGGUAUACUCCUGCGUGGUUAAUCUCGGAGCGGCUUCGACAACAUCCGCAACAGUCACACAGUCCAACUGUUAG